GCUCUGUGGUCAAGCAGCUCAGAACAAUAAGCAGAUGAAGCCAGUGGAAGGCAAGAUUAUUUGUUGAGGGAGUCUAGGCUUUUCAGAGGCUUAGGUUUUAGCACCAAGCAGAACGUAAAGAGAAGAAAACUAAAGAACGUGAGAGACGGGGAUUGUGCAACACCUGCUUCUGGAGGGAUUGUAAGAGAGCACCUAAAUAUGCUUAUUAAGAAAUAAAGAGGACACACUUCUUCUACAAAACUGAACUGUGAAGUUAUAGAACUUGAGAGUUGAAAUGGGUCCCAGGAAGAAAAUGGCAGUAGCUGUGCAGUGGAUGUCUCCCUCGCCGUGUGAAGAAAAUGUGUAUCUCUAGAUCAAAGGGGCAAGAGCCGGUCAUCAUUGCCAGUUUUCAGAUCAGGAAUUGGAGACUUUAGAAGAAAGCACAGGUGCCUUCAUACCCCUAGGACAGGUUAUGGCAUUUUCCUCUGUCAACCACAGUCCCUUGUUGAGCUAUUCCCCUAAACGGUGAUUCCUUCUCCCCAACCUAUAUUCUCUUCUUUGCCCAGAUCCAUCUAAAAUCUGCUCUCAGGCUCUUCCCUGCACAAAUUCUUCCUUGUAACUAAAGUAUAUGCAUUAAAAUUUUACUCUACACCAAAGG